rnacentral:tRNA from 1 species
AAGGUUUUAAGUUAAAAAAACUACAAGCCUUCAAAGUUUGAUAUGAGAAAAAUUUCUUAAACCUUG